rnacentral:rRNA from 1 species
GAUGAACGCUGGCGGCGUGCUUAACACAUGCAAGUCGAACGAUGAAGCCCAGCUUGCUGGGUGGAUUAGUGGCGAACGGGUGAGUAACACGUGAGUAACCUGCCCUUGACUCUGGGAUAAGCCUGGGAAACUGGGUCUAAUACUGGAUAUGACUUCUCAUCGCAUGGUGGGGGUUGGAAAGAUUUAUUGGUCUUGGAUGGACUCGCGGCAUAUCAGCUUGUUGGUGAGGUAAUGUCUCACCAAGGCGACGACGGGUAGCCGGCCUGAGAGGGUGACCGGCCACACUGGGAAUGAGACACGGCCCAGACUCCUACGGGAGGAAGAAGUGGGGAAUAUUGCAAAAUGGGCGCAAGCGUGAUGCAGAGACGCCGCGUGAGGGAUGACGGACUUCGGGUUGUAAACCUCUUUCAGUAGGGAAGAAGCGAGAGUGACGGUACAUGCAGAAGAAGCGCCGGCUAACUACGUG